UAGUUUGAUCCUGGCUCAGGAUGAACGCUGGCGGCGCGCCUAACACAUGCAAGUCGAGCGGCACCCCUCUCCGGAGGGAGGCGAGCGGCGAACGGCUGAGUAACACGUGACCAACCUGCCCUGCGCACGGGGACAGCCGCGGGAAACCGCGGGUGAUACCCGAUGGCGCCCGGGGCCCGCAUGGGCCCCGGGCCAAAGCCCCGGCGGCGCGGGAUGGGGUCGCGGCCCAUCAGGUAGACGGCGGGGUGACGGCCCACCGUGCCGACAACGGGUAGCCGGGUUGAGAGACCGACCGGCCAGAUUGGGACUGAGACACGGCCCAGACUCCUACGGGAGGCAGCAGUGGGGAAUCUUGCGCAAUGGGGGGAACCCUGACGCAGCGACGCCGCGUGCGGGAUGGAGGCCUUCGGGUCGUGAACCGCUUUCAGCAGGGACGAGUCAAGACGGUACCUGCAGAAGAAGCCCCGGCUAACUACGUGCCAGCAGCCGCGGUAAUACGUAGGGGGCGAGCGUUAUCCGGAUUCAUUGGGCGUAAAGCGCGCGUAGGCGGCCGCGCAGGCGGGGGGUCAAAUCCCGGGGCUCAACCCCGGUCCGCCCCCCGAACCGCGCGGCUUGGGUCCGGCAGGGGAGGGUGGAACGCCCGGUGUAGCGGUGGAAUGCGCAGAUAUCGGGCGGA
rnacentral:rRNA from 1 species